rnacentral:rRNA from 1 species
UACGUAGGGGGCUAGCGUUGUCCGGAAUCAUUGGGCGUAAAGAGCGUGUAGGCGGUCCGGUAAGUCCGCUGUGAAAGUCGGGGGCUCAACCCUCGAAUGCCGGUGGAUACUGUCGGGCUAGAGUGCGGAAGAGGCGAGUGGAAUUCCUGGUGUAGCGGUGGAAUGCGCAGAUAUCAGGAGGAACACCGUAGUAGCGAAGGCAGCUCGCUGGGACGACACUGACGCUGAGACGCGAAAGCGUGGGGAGCGAACAGG